GGCCCGCCCGGCCGGGGGAGGAGCCGCCGCGGCGGGAGCGGGGCCGGCGGGUUGCCAUGGCGAUGAGCUGCGGGAAGGCCGGGCUGGGCUGCGGCUGAGGGAAACUUGGGUGGAGGGAAGAAUGAAGAAGUGCCAGAGACUUGAUGAGAAGCUUUCGGCAGACCUUGAGGGCUGUACACAGUGCUGGUCAGCAGAAUUGAUUAUACCUGCAAUAUAAACACACAAACUUCUUUUGACACUUGUUUCUCCUCACCGCCCCUUCUGUAAACUAAAAAAAUCCAAUCUAAGCACAGACCUUUCCAAGUGUAAAUGCUGAUGUUUCAUAAUGUAUACAUCUGUCGUGAAGAAUAACCUACCUUCUGCCGUUCAGCUUGUAUGUAAUUGCAUUUAGCGUCGGGUAGAGAUGUAUUCCGCGUUUUUCCUAGUGAUACAAAGCCUUCAGAAUUGAUUUUAGUGAUGUCUAUGAUAAAAUACUUAGAUUGUCAAAACAUCAUCAAAAUCACUAUGCAUUUUUUUUAUGCAGACCUGUCUUUUUAUUUUUUUCAGAUCUAGAUUAUUCUCCCCAGAUUUAGACUUUAAAGAUUGAGGUCUGGAAGAGAACCAAACUCAUUCAGAAGCACAAAACUGGUUGUAAACAAUGAGGAGGAUUCUAGACUGGUUGAGGCACUAGCUUUUUGGGCUUUUGAAGGUGCCAUUUAUAUAGUAAGGAAGUUUGUAGGGCUCUUACUUCUCUUUUGUUAUCAUGGUUAACCAUUUCAAGCUUAAAAGUUCCUAACAGAAAAAUAGUUCAAAGUUUGAAAUUGCAGGAGGUCAUAAACUAAAGAAAUAACUAUUAAAUAUCCCGUUUGCACACUGGGAGCACAAAAUGGAAACAAUAUGAAAACCCAAACAAUUUGUGUAAUAUUCAAUUACAGUUGGCUUUAAAUAAAUAUUAAAAAUA